rnacentral:lncRNA from 1 species
GAGUUCUCCACAUUUCAGAUAUAGCACCAAUUACAGCUACACAUUGCACAUUCCAACUGCUUUAACAAAUAACUUCAUUAUCUAGAAAAACUUAUCCAACAAAGUACAAUUAGUUUACCGUGAUUUACAAAUUAUCGAGGACAUCGCUUUGUCGAGUUUCUAGUGUACAAAAGAAGCAAGUAAAUAUACACACAUAUGGAAAAUGCGAAAAGAGAUACCUAAUCCAGUAAGGUCCGGAGUAUCAAAAUCGUCCUGAUCGUAAUUGUAAAAAUCAUAUCCUAAUUUGAGUUCCUCCUCUUCAGCUAACUCUUCCGGAAGCUUCCACCGAGACUCCUCGUGAUGAUGAUCAUAGUGGUGGUGAUGUCCGUGAUUACAUUGUUGAGUGUGAGUGUGAGCGUGAGCGUGAGCGUGAGCGUGCACGUCGUUAUCGUGGUCGUGAGCAGCACAGGAUCCAGCGUUGUGAGCGAGGCUUGGAUUGAAGGUGAGUAAAAGAAACGAGAUGGUGAGUAAAGCGAGUGAUGUCGUGUGAAUUGACAUGUUUCUCGCCGAGAAAGAGAUUCAAGCCCUAAUUGAGAGAGAGAGAGAGAGAGAGGUGCGAGUCUGAAGACGAUGCCUGAUUGCCUGGAUUUGGUUGUUUAAUCACUAAUACCACUCCAAACGGAUCCUACUGGCCAAUGCGUAAGUAUUAAAAAGUACUCGGCGGAAAGCGAAAAAAGAAAAAAUAAUAUAAUAAAGUACCCUGCGUGCCGUUCGUUCAGCGUCCGGGUCCAGAGAUGUCCAGAAAUCAUCUAAAUUCGAAAGGCCCGGUUUCAAAUCGACAGGGAAAAAAAACAUUUUGGGAAAAAAUC